UCUCCGUUGGUGAACCAGCGGAGGGAUCAUUACCGAGUUUACAACUCCCAAACCCAAUGUAGACCAUACCAAACUGUUGCCUCGGCGGGGUCACGCCCCGGGUGCGUCGCAGCCCCGGAACCAGGCGCCCGCCGGAGGGACCAACCAAACUCUUUCUGUAGUCCCCUCGCGGACGUUAUUUUUACAGCUCUGAGCAAAAAUUCAAAAUGAAUCAAAACUUUCAACAACGGAUCUCUUGGUUCUG
rnacentral:misc_RNA from 1 species